AAUGAACAGAAAAGAAAAAGGGACAUGGGAUGAGAUGAGAUUGUUAUCACAGAAUGGCAUUCAAAUUCACAUUUCCAUUUAUGGUCACAUUGUUAUACAUCUUGGUUUCUCUCUCUCUCUCUCUCUUCUCUUCUUUCUCUCUCCCUCUUCCCAUGAAAGACAAGGAGAGGAAAGGAUGAGAG
rnacentral:ribozyme from 14 species